UCUACGGGAGGCAGCAGUGGGGAAUAUUGCACAAUGGGCGCAAGCCUGAUGCAGCGACGCCGCGUGAGGGAUGACGGCCUUCGGGUUGUAAACCUCUUUCAACGCCGACGAAGCGUAAGUGACGGUAGGCGUAGAAGAAGCACCGGCCAACUACGUGCCAGCAGCCGCGGUAAUACGUAGGGUGCGAGCGUUGUCCGGAAUUACUGGGCGUAAAGAGCUCGUAGGUGGUUUGUCGCGUUGUUCGUGAAAACUCACAGCUUAACUGUGGGCGUGCGGGCGAUACGGGCAGACUGGAGUACUGCAGGGGAGACUGGAAUUCCUGGUGUAGCGGUGGAAUGCGCAGAUAUCAGGAGGAACACCGGUGGCGAAGGCGGGUCUCUGGGCAGUAACUGACGCUGAGGAGCGAAAGCGUGGGGAGCGAACAGGAUUAGAUACCCUGGUAGUCCACGCCGUAAACGGUGGGUACUAGGUGUGGGUUUCCUUCCUUGGGAUCCGUGCCGUAGCUAACGCAUUAAGUACCCCGCCUGGGGAGUACGGCCGCAAGGCUGAAACUCAAAGGAAUUGACGGGGGCCCGCACAAGCGGCGGAGCAUGUGGAUUAAUUCGAUGCAACGCGAAGAACCUUACCUGGGUUUGACAUGCACAGGACGCCGGCAGAGAUGUCGGUUCCCUUGUGGCCUGUGUGCAGGUGGUGCAUGGCUGUCGUCAGCUCGUGUCGUGAGAUGUUGGGUUAAGUCCCGCAACGAGCGCAACCCUUGUCUCAUGUUGCCAGCACGUCAUGGUGGGGACUCGUGAGAGACUGCCGGGGUCAACUCGGAGGAAGGUGGGGAUGACGUCAAUCAUCAUGCCCCUUAUGUCUUGGGCUGCACACAUGCUACAAUGGCCGGUACAAAGGGCUGCUAAGCCGUGAGGUGGAGCGAAUCCCAAAAAGCCGGUCUU
rnacentral:rRNA from 1 species